UGCAGUCGACGCCCCGCAAGGGGAGUGGCAGACGGGUGAGUAACGCGUGGGAACAUACCCUUUUCUACGGAAUAGCUCUGGGAAACUGGAAUUAAUACCGUAUACGCCCUACGGGGGAAAGAUUUAUCGGGGAAGGAUUGGCCCGCGUUGGAUUAGCUAGUUGGUGGGGUAAAGGCCUACCAAGGCGACGAUCCAUAGCUGGUCUGAGAGGAUGAUCAGCCACAUUGGGACUGAGACACGGCCCAAACUCCUACGGGAGGCAGCAGUGGGGAAUAUUGGACAAUGGGCGCAAGCCUGAUCCAGCCAUGCCGCGUGAGUGAUGAAGGCCUUAGGGUUGUAAAGCUCUUUCACCGAUGAAGAUAAUGACGGUAGUCGGAGAAGAAGCCCCGGCUAACUUCGUGCCAGCAGCCGCGGUAAUACGAAGGGGGCUAGCGUUGUUCGGAAUUACUGGGCGUAAAGCGCACGUAGGCGGAUAUUUAAGUCAGGGGUGAAAUCCCAGAGCUCAACUCUGGAACUGCCUUUGAUACUGGGUAUCUUGAGUAUGGAAGAGGUAAGUGGAAUUGCGAGUGUAGAGGUGAAAUUCG
rnacentral:rRNA from 1 species